rnacentral:rRNA from 1 species
CCCUUAGAUGUUCUGGGCCGCACGCGCGCUACACUGACGAUGGCAACGAGUUUUUCCUUCGCCGAAAAGUGUGGGUAAUCUUUUGAAACAUCGUCGUGCUGGGGAUAGAUCAUUGCAAUUUUUGAUCUUGAACGAGGAAUUCCUAGUAAGCGCGAGUCAUCAGCUCGCGUUGAUUACGUCCCUGCCCUUUGUACACACCGCCCGUCGCUACUACCGAUUGAAUGGUUUAGUGAGGACUCCUGAUUGGCGCCGCCGCCCCGGCAACGGAGCAGCGGACUGCCGAAAAGUUGUUCAAACUUGAUCAUUUAGAGGAAGUAAAAGUCGUAACA